ACAAAAAUACUAACAACAAAAUAAACCCUAUUUCGGCCGAGUUGGCAGCCCCCUUUGAUAAAAGUUGUUGCUUCCUGAUGCUUGCUGAUGUUUACGUUUGAUCGUGGUGUUUUUUUAUAUGAUCGUGAUAUAUUGUUUAAUUGUGGGUCGGACGGGUGUAGAUGUGCGAAAUGUGGUAAUGUUAUGUGAUGUGUUAUGAAUGAGGGUAUACAUGCGUGGGUUGUGUGUGAUGUGGGUGGAUGAAGCCCUGAUACCUAUCGGCUCUCUCCAAAACCGCCCAUAACACCACACUACCGUUUCCAGGAUUACUCCGCCGAAACGGGAGUGCCAAGCUGGCGGGCUUUUUCAAUUAAGAGGCCCCAAACGUAGGCCAUCGCCCACACCCUGAGAUUGAGAGUCUCUGGCUCCAUCGACUGAGAUGCCUGGGCUACUGCUUCAGAUCCUUUGCGUGAAACACCCCAAUACGUGAGCCUUGCAACGUCUCCAGCUCGUACAGACUGUUGCCCAUACUCCGGAUCACUCGGCACUUGACGUAUUUUGGGCUGAACUUCGCGUUGAUGUUGUUUUUAAAUUUGCUCAACACGAAAUUCCGCUUAUAUA